rnacentral:rRNA from 1 species
UUCUGGCUCAGGAUGAACGCUAGCUACAGGCUUAACACAUGCAAGUCGUGGGGCAGCGCUGGGAAUGCUUGCAUUCCCUGGCGGCGACCGGCGGAUGGGUGAGUAACGCGUAUCCAACCUGCCCCGCGCCCGGGGACAGCCCUUAGAAAUGAGGAUUAACCCCCGAUAUGUGUCCCUGCCGCAUGGCCGGGCCACGAAACAGGACGCGGGAUGGGGAUGCGUUCCAUUAGGCAGCAGGCGGGUAACGGCCCACCUGGCCCGCGAUGGAUAGGGGUUCUGAGAGGAAGGUCCCCCACACUGGAACUGAGACACGGUCCAGACUCCUACGGGAGGCAGCAGUGAGGAAUAUUGGUCAAUGGGCGGAAGCCUGAACCAGCCAAGUCGCGUGAAAGGAUGAAGGUUCUAUGGAUUGUAAACUUCUUUUGUCCGAGGGUAAAAAAGGUCACGUGUGACUUCUUGCAAGUAUCGGACGAAUAAGCAUCGGCUAACUCCGUGCCAGCCGCAGC